CAAAGGGUUGAGGCGUUCAUCAAGCAAUUUAAUGAGGAGAUGAGGUUGCAAAGGCAAGAGUCACUCAACCAGAGUAUGGAGAUGAUUAAUCACGAGGUCUAGACUAUACAGAUCAUUAAUUCCUGUUGUAUAGAAAUAAGUCAAUAACCUUCACAGAAGACUUACAGAACUCUCACACAGGGUGAACUUCAUGUGAAUAUUUUAUUGAAAAAAAAAUAAAAAAAAAUACCUGCUGUGCCCCAUCUAGAGGGAUUCUGUGACCCCUCAUGCUGUACAUAUAGUAUGCUUGCUAUACAGAUUUAGAUUGUGAUUUACUUGUUAAUAUAAAAAUAUCAACAUAGAAAAUUGGAAAAAAGAAAAAGUAGUAGCUGCAAAAACUUUAAAAAAGCUUGAAAUAGUUUUUAGGGAACUACUUUUAGUUUGUGUUUCCAAAUUUGUCAGGCCUCACCGUCGAGGCUCUAUUUCAAGCAUAUGUGGCAACCACUUGGAUGCAUCAAUCCAGGGAAAAGUCAAAAGGUCGACAGAGUUAAAUGAUUGAAGUCAACUCUAUUGUUGAAAUUCCUUUACAAUCGAGGUCAUUCAUCCCGAAUUCCCUCCUUCAAAGGGUCUCGGAUUAGAAGCAUUUCCCAAAGAGAUCGUAGUGGUUAAUGAAUGAUUGAUAUCACCACUUGCAAUCCAAUUAAGUCGAAUCUUGUCAAUCUAAUUAAUUAUGUACAUUGACACACUCGAAAGGAUAGCUCCUCUUCCCCCACACACUCGAAUGCACUACACUGUAAGUGGACAAUGGGACAGUCACGAUAAGACAUCCUAGAGAGUCGAAUGCAACCACGUACGUUUCAUCCAAUGGCCAAGAUCAAUGCUAUAUUACUAUAAACAACAAACAUUUUAGCACUUUGAAUUUAAUGCAACUCUUUACACAAAUAAAACUAUAUUCUACUCUUUCUUUUGUUCAUAUUCAAACUUGUUUGAGCUUAGAUAACAUUGUUUUAGUUAAGUUAUUUAUGAUUGAUUCUUAAUGUGCAAUCACCCAUGAAUUUAUGACCAGUAUUUGAACAUCUUUGUCUCGUGUCUUAAAGUAUCUCCCACGUUCAUGUGCAGUUAUUCCUUUGAAUUGCAUUUUCGGUUAAAAAUGUUGAAAUUUGCUCGUCUAGACAUGAGUGGACCCGAGAUCUGUUAUCCACGUCAUCCCUACAAAAAGUGAAUUUAUAAAAUGGAGACUUAAUUUUUUGGCUAAUUAUUUGAUUUAUGUUGACUAGUCUUAUUUUUUGGCUAAUGAUUAUUUUAAUAUACAUUUUCUUUAUAAGCGGCACAUUUUCAUAAUUUUAAAUUUUGAAUAAGUCCUUUGAUACGAACUAUAUAGUUUAUGGAUUUUACAAAUUUUUUACAAUAUAUUUUGUUAAUUUUUAUUAAAAUUUAUUAAAAAUCUAAUUUUAAUUUUCAAGCAAACAAGAGGAAAAUAUGAUUUCUAGAAGAUUAAAAGGUCAAUUGCAUUUUUCAGGUGCAAAGGUACCUAAAGUGACAAGACAGAAACGGCAAGAGACAUUAGAGGAUACUUGGAAGAUAAUAAUGGAAGCGCGUCAAGUGCCACCCACAAAGUCAGAUACGUGGCAACACAGUGGGCAUCAGUUGACCACAAGUAGACCGGAUCAUGUACCAAAAUCGAAGACCUCCAAGAACCGUGUGAACUAUGAGUCCCAAUUCGAAGCUCCAUUGAGAUUGUCCUCAAGUACGAAGAUUUCAAAAGAGUCGUCGUUGAGUAAAGAUGAGCUGAAUCAAAGGGUUGAGGCGUUCAUCAAGCAAUUUAAUGAGGAGAUGAGGUUGCAAAGGCAAGAGUCACUCAACCAGAGUAUGGAGAUGAUUAAUCACGAGGUCUAGACUAUACAGAUCAUUAAUUCCUGUUGUAUAGAAAUAAGUCAAUAACCUUCACAGAAGACUUACAGAACUCUCACACAGGGUGAACUUCAUGUGAAUAUUUUAUUGAAAAAAAAAUAAAAAAAAAUACCUGCUGUGCCCCAUCUAGAGGGAUUCUGUGACCCCUCAUGCUGUACAUAUAGUAUGCUUGCUAUACAGAUUUAGAUUGUGAUUUACUUGUUAAUAUAAAAAUAUCAACAUAGAAAAUUGGAAAAAAGAAAAAGUAGUAGCUGCAAAAACUUUAAAAAAGCUUGAAAUAGUUUUUAGGGAACUACUUUUAGUUUGUGUUUCCAAAUUUGUCAGGCCUCACCGUCGAGGCUCUAUUUCAAGCAUAUGUGGCAACCACUUGGAUGCAUCAAUCCAGGGAAAAGUCAAAAGGUCGACAGAGUUAAAUGAUUGAAGUCAACUCUAUUGUUGAAAUUCCUUUACAAUCGAGGUCAUUCAUCCCGAAUUCCCUCCUUCAAAGGGUCUCGGAUUAGAAGCAUUUCCCAAAGAGAUCGUAGUGGUUAAUGAAUGAUUGAUAUCACCACUUGCAAUCCAAUUAAGUCGAAUCUUGUCAAUCUAAUUAAUUAUGUACAUUGACACACUCGAAAGGAUAGCUCCUCUUCCCCCACACACUCGAAUGCACUACACUGUAAGUGGACAAUGGGACAGUCACGAUAAGACAUCCUAGAGAGUCGAAUGCAACCACGUACGUUUCAUCCAAUGGCCAAG
rnacentral:lncRNA from 1 species